rnacentral:misc_RNA from 1 species
GAUGAAGAACGCAGCGAAAUGCGAUACUUGGUGUGAAUUGCAGAAUCCCGUGAACCAUCGAGUCUUUGAACGCAAGUUGCGCCCGAAGCCAUUAGACCGAGGGCACGCCUGCCUGGGCGUCACACGUCGUUGCCCCCCCAUCUACUCCUUCGGGAUUGCGGGGGGCGGAUGAUGGCCUCUCGUGCGCCUCGUCGCGCGGUUGGCCUAAAUGCCAAGUCCUCGGCGACGCACGCCACGACAAUCGGUGGUUGCGAAACCUCGGUUGCCUGUCGUGUGCGGUCGUCGCGCAUCGAGGGCUCGAAAAAAUUGCCGGGCUUCGGCUCGACUUUCAACGCGACCCCAGGUCAGGCGGGGUUACCCGCUGAAUUUAAGCAUAUCAAUAAGCGGAGGA